rnacentral:tRNA from 1 species
GGGCGCUUAGCUCAGAGGUAGAGCGGCAUGUUUACACCGUGCGGGUCGGGGGUUCGAUUCCCUCAGCGCCCA